rnacentral:rRNA from 1 species
UGGCGGACGGGUGAGUAACACGUGGGUAACCUGCCCUUAAGUGGGGGAUAACAUUUGGAAACAGAUGCUAAUACCGCAUAGAUCCAAGAACCGCAUGGUUCUUGGCUGAAAGAUGGCGUAAGCUAUCGCUUUUGGAUGGACCCGCGGCGUAUUAGCUAGUUGGUGAGGUAAUGGCUCACCAAGGCGAUGAUACGUAGCCGAACUGAGAGGUUGAUCGGCCACAUUGGGACUGAGACACGGCCCAAACUCCUACGGGAGGCAGCAGUAGGGAAUCUUCCACAAUGGACGCAAGUCUGAUGGAGCAACGCCGCGUGAGUGAAGAAGGCUUUCGGGUCGUAAAACUCUGUUGUUGGAGAAGAAUGGUCGGCAGAGUAACUGUUGUCGGCGUGACGGUAUCCAACCAGAAAGCCACGGCUAACUACGUGCCAGCAGCCGCGGUAAUACGUAGGUGGCAAGCGUUAUCCGGAUUUAUUGGGCGUAAAGCGAGCGCAGGCGGUUUUUUAAGUCUGAUGUGAAAGCCCUCGGCUUAACCGAGGAAGCGCAUCGGAAACUGGGAAACUUGAGUGCAGAAGAGGACAGUGGAACUCCAUGUGUAGCGGUGAAAUGCGUAGAUAUAUGGAAGAACACCAGUGGCGAAGGCGGCUGUCUGGUCUGUAACUGACGCUGAGGCUCGAAAGCAUGGGUAGCGAACAGGAUUAGAUACCCUGGUAGUCCAUGCCGUAAACGAUGAAUGCUAGGUGUUGGAGGGUUUCCGCCCUUCAGUGCCGCAGCUAACGCAUUAAGCAUUCCGCCUGGGGAGUACGACCGCAAGGUUGAAACUCAAAGGAAUUGACGGGGGCCCGCA